GUUUUCACGUUAGCAGUGCAUAUGCUAAAAUUAAAACAAUACAGAGAAGAUUUGCACGACCCCUGAGCAAGGCUAACAUACAAAUUUGGGAGACAUUCCAUAUAUAU
rnacentral:snRNA from 1 species